rnacentral:rRNA from 1 species
GGGGCAGUAAUGCAUGGGUAAUCUACCCCGGGGACGUGGAUAGCUAUCCUAACGGGUAGGUAAUACACGGCGAUUCGGCGAGAGGACAUCCUUUUGUCGGGAAAUGAAUUUCGCCUCGGGAGGAGCUCAUGUCGUAUUAGCUUGUUGGCGGGGUAACGGCCCACCAAGGCAAAGAUGCGUAGCGGGUGUGAGAGCACGACCCGCGCCACUGGCACUGAGACACUGGCCAGACACCUACGGGUGGCUGCAGUCGAGGAUCUUCGGCAAUGUGCGCAAGCAUGACCGAGCGACGCCGCGUGUGCGACGAAGGCCUUCGGGUUGUAAAGCACUGUCGAGGGGGAGGAAAGCCGAAAGGUCUGACCUAUCCCUGGAGGAAGCACGGGCUAAGUUCGUGCCAGCAGCCGCGGUAAGACGAACCGUGCAAACGUUGUUCGGAAUCACUGGGCUUAAAGGGCGCGUAGGCGGACCGCAAAGUCAGGGGUGAAAUCCUCCAGCUCAACUGGAGAACUGCCUCUGAUACUGGCGGUCUCGAGUAAGGUAGGGGCGUGCGGAACUGAUGGUGGAGCGGUGAAAUGUGUUGAUAUCAUCA